UAGAGUUAUCUAACUCCCAAACCCAUGUGAACUUACCUCUGUUGCCUCGGCAGGUCGCACCCCGCCCUUACGGGCGCGGUGCGGACGGCCUGCCGGUGGCCCAUUACAUUCUGUUUACUUGUUGUAUUCUGAACCCAAAACUUAAUAAGUUA
rnacentral:misc_RNA from 1 species